ensembl:lncRNA
CAGAAAGCUAACAGGCUAGCAGGUGGCUAACAGGCUAGCAGGUGGCUAACAGGCUAUCAGGUGGUUAACAGGCUAGCAGGUGGCUAACAGGCUAGCAGGUGGCUAACAGGCUAGCAGGUGGCUAACAUGAGGUGGCUAACAGGCUAUGCAGUAGCUAACAACCAGCAGAAUGGAUUCUCCUCAGGUCCAGACCGUGGGGCCCCACAGGGGUGUACUUAGUCCCCUUCUGUAUUCCCUGUUCACCCACGACUGCGUGGCCAAACCAUCAUUAAGUUUGCUGAUGACAGGACAGUGAUAGGCCUGAUCACCAACAACGAUGAGACGGCUUAUAGGGAGGAGGUCAGAGAACUGGCAGUGUGGUGCCAGGACAACAACCUCUCCCUCAAUGUGGGUAAGACAAAGGAGCUGAUCUUGGACUACAGUAAAAGGCGGGCCGAACAGGCCCCCAUUAACAUCGACGG